GCAUUCGCGCUCACUCUUCGGCGUGUGUUUGGAACGAAGAUAACUACGAAUUAUCGAGCGCCUGCCCCCAAUUCGAAUCCCUUCUCGUCCCCAUUCCGAUCGCCGAAGCUCCCCGACUCGCAGCCCUAUCCCUAACCCGUCCCCUCCCUCCUCUCCCUUCGUGGCCGCUGUCUCCCCCGCCGCCGAUCCCUCGACCUGCCGUUCACUGCGCUCCGAAUGGGCAGCUCGCCACCCUUGGGCUAACCACGUCGUCCUCAACGACCUUAAGGGUUCUGCCGCCGCGACCCCACCUCUACGCUGCCGCUGGCCACUUUGAUCCCCUUUCCGGAGCCAUCCGAUCGGAUGCAGCCUCUGGAGGACGUGGCGCCGUCGUAGUUGGAAGCGGCCGCCCAAUGGCUCGAUCGAGGUGGGCGCAGCUGUGAUGGGAGAGCCGCCGCUUGGCUCGUCCUUUCCGACUCCCUUAAAUAUCCCCUUCCGAUGCUCUGAAACCCCUUUCCGAUGGAACGCCAUCCUCUUCGGAUUUCCCAGGUUUUGGUCAAGAAUUCGACGAGUUUUAGAUGGAAGUGAUUUAAACCUAUACGUCGUUGGAACGAUGCAGCGUGGAUAGUAACAAUGGUGCACCUCCCGAUGGUAGAGUGGCGUCGCCCUCACCACCACAGACGUCGUAUCUUAUGCCUCUGGCGAACUCGAAAAAGCUGGCAGCCACGGAGCUCUCGGCUCGAGACCAAACUACCAAGAACGCGACCAAUUGGGACCAUGGUUCCGGGUUGGGAUCAACACAACAACUACGGUAACAGGGUGCCCGGCCCUACCUUGGACCGCCUGCACCAUCUGUCAUUCCUCGGUCCUCCGCAGGUGCAGCCUUAUGAGAAUCCAAUGGCCUUCCUGGUUUGGUUCAUACGAUGAUGACAACGUUCUUAAUCUACCUUCAGAUAUGCCUUAUCCUAUCUUUUAUGUUGCCACGCAGCCACCCACCUUCUGGGGUCUGCCCGUUGUUGCUCAUCCGGCAGGUGCAGCCUUCUGAGAAUCCAAUGGCCUUCCUGGUUUGGUUCAUUCGAUGAUGACAAUGUUCUUAAUCUACCUUCAGAUAUGCCUUAUCCUAUCUUUUACGUUGCCACUCAGCCAGCCACCUUCUGGGGUCUGCCCUUUGUUGCUCAUCCGGCAGUGCCCCUUGCAAUGGUUAUUUCAGCUGUUGAACCGCAACGUGCUAAUCUAUUGAAGCAGAUAGAUUACUAUUUCAGGUGAAUAUUUGGUUCACAACUUGUAAUGAUCAUAUUUAAGGGAUCUGUGCCUAUAUUUUAUGUUCUGGUUUAAUAUUGGCAUAUUUUUCUGGUGAUGAAGAUAAAAUCGUUGCUAUACUCCUCCAUUCUGACCUCUGGCCUGUUACUAUCUUAAGAACCUUUAUGUCUGACCAGAUUACCAUUUGGUUGUCACCUGAAUCUGGCCCUUGGAAUUUUCUUUUACUGAUUCUGGUAAUCACUCGAAUCGAGUACUGAUUAAUACUCAUUUGAACUUGAGAUCAAGCAUAUUUCUGCUAGUGUUUUUCAAACAUAUUUAGUUGAUUCUUGUUCAUGAUUUUUUUCAUUAGAAAUCUUAUAAUGAGCCAUUAGUUAUUGAAUAUUUUUCAUGGAAUCUUUUAUGGAUUUAGGGUACUUUUUUUAUAUUUGUAACUUUAUAUAGGUAUCUAUAAUGUUUAUGAUUUGAAAGGCAUAUACCAUGGUCGUGUAACUAUGACAUAUAUUCGAUAAGGGUUCAUGAUCUCUAACUGUGACUUGUCUUUUGCGUCAGACUUUUCUUUUUCUUCCUCGUUGAUGGUUUCUACAGGUCCAAGAUUUAAUUUGCUGAUGUGAUAUACAAGUUAUAUAUGCUGCGCAGAGUUCUAAUUGACGUCAAUAUAACAGACAGCUCCGGUCGAUACAAAGUGACUUACCAACGGCUCUGAUUGGUACAAAGUUAUUGGCCAAUGCAUGUAUUGAAUUGAUUUACAUUGUUUCUGUUGAUCUAAUGCAUUUUGAUCUAAAAGUCAUCGAUACUGAAUCAUCUGAUAUUAUCAUGAACUUCCAAUCUUAGUUUGCUUGUGUAGUUAGGCAUCAGAUAUCUUUUAUGGAUGUUUAAUAUGGUCUAAACUUGUUUCUAUUGGCUUAUUGUUUCUUGAAUCUUCUUUCAAUUCACUGCCCAAAUAUGUUGUUGCAGUAUUGAAAAACUGCUCUUGCAAUAUUGUUCAGAUCAGACAAAAAACAAGCAGCAAAAAAUUCAUGUUGGAUAUGUUGCAGUUGUCAUCUGUAGUCGAAGUACAGGUUGAAUCAAAAAAAGAAAAAAAAAACUAUAAAAGAGCGGAUUUGAAGAGAAGAUGUUGAUGCGAGAUGUCUGGUGGUGAUGACCUUUUUCAGUCAAUUGAACAUUUAAAAGCUGAUCCUUUAAAAGGCUUCUUUCAGAUUAUGAACGACCAAAAGGCAUAUACAUAUGAUAGGCAGAAAUAUAGGGGAAAACCUCAGCGAAGCUUAUUCUGGGCUACUGCCUGACACAGCUCGUCCUCGUAGAACAGAACUCGAGUGGAAGCUACGGGCUUAAAGAUUGGCCUCGGCAGACCCGGUGGCAUGAUUCGCCCCGGACGGAGUGUCGACUCCUGGAACAGGACAGCUGCGAUCUGCCUCAUGUCCAUCAGGUGAAGGCGAGGACGAGGGCCGUGUCUUGGAGCUUUCGGUGUGUGCGGGGUUGGCCUCUUUCCAUCUGCCUUGCUGGAAAUCCACAAGGAUGUAGUAAGCCGAGAAGAAGAGGAGGAAUGAAAUGAGUAGGAACGACGAGCUGCAAUGUGUCCAUCGAGUCAUGUACCUCACAAAAGGCCAAUGUUCGGUCGGCACCGGAGUCUUGGUGUUGAGCAUCUCUUGCCUGGACCGGUCUGGGGUCGUGUAAUUGAAAUGCAAUUGCCUGGCCAGUAGUACCUAGCCCAAGAUUCAAUUUUGAGUAAUCGUUGAAUCAGAUGCAAGGCACCAGCCAUCUCAAUUGAAAAAAGAUAUGUGGUGCUGCAGCUAACGGAUGCAGUUGGAAGGGAGAGAAGAAGCAAGCACGAGAGAGCACUUACAGCUGUUCGAAUUCUCUGGGAAACAUGGAAAACAGCUCGUAGCUGAUCAUGAUGCAGGUGGCAGAGGAUUUUGACCUUCCAACGAGAAUAAUCAUGUGUCAGAGGAAGCUUCUGCUGCUUAGCAUCAUCCAUUGCGAGAUGAGAGCUGACCCUAAUGGGAGACACGAUCGGUGAAUCGCUCUGAAUGACCUCAUCCCGAUUAAGCAGAUCAAUCUUCGCCUUCUCUGACUGCAACACGAUCCUUUUCUUCCCAAUAUCCGUGCACGAUUUGCUUGAGCUCCUGCUAUAUCGGAUCUGAGCAAGCGCACCAGGUUUUAGGUACUUGUUCUUUGUGUUCUUCACUCGCUUCUUUUGUUUGAAAGCCAUAGAUUCAACACUCAUAGAAUACACAAAUAAAUCAGAAAUCCUUAUGCUUC